GCCCGGGUGGCGAAAUUGGUAGACGCAAGAGACUUAAAAUCUCUCGACCUUCGGGUUGUGCCGGUUCGAUUCCGGCCCCGGGCACCA
rnacentral:tRNA from 1 species